rnacentral:rRNA from 1 species
UCGCUAGUAAUCGCGGAUCAGCACGCCGCGGUGAAUACGUUCCCGGGCCUUGUACACACCGCCCGUCACACCGAUGAGAGUCUGUAACACCCAAGCCGGUGGGAUAACCUUUAUAGGAGUCAGCCGUCUAAGGUAGGACAGAUGAUUAGGGUGAAGUCGUAACAAGGUACC